ACUGAUUUCUUUUGGUGUUCAGAGUCUUGGUCGAUUUCUAGCACCAUUUGAAAUCGGUUA
rnacentral:pre_miRNA from 1 species